rnacentral:rRNA from 1 species
UACUCGAGUGGCGAACGGGUGAGUAACACGUGGGUGAUCUGCCCUGCACUCCGGGAUAAGCCUGGGAAACUGGGUCUAAUACCGGAUAGGACCAUGCUUUAGUGUGUGUGGUGGAAAGUUUUUUCGGUGUAGGAUGAGCCCGCGGCCUAUCAGCUUGUUGGUGGGGUAAUGGCCUACCAAGGCGGCGACGGGUAGCCGGACUGAGAGGUUGGUCGGCCACAUUGGGACUGAGAUACGGCCCAG